CAAAAUAAAAAGUAUUGAAUUUGAAUCCACCGAACCGUAGUAUUAUUUAAUUUUUACUCAUUUAAUCGACAUUCAUAACAAUGGAGGGUUGGGUUAGGACUUGAGGUGAUGGGAAUUUUUGGCUUAAAGAGGCCAGUAUUCUGUCCUCUGGUAUAAGGUCUGUUGGGUAAAAUCAUAUUUGAAAUGGCGGGAGGUCGGACUAGACCAAGUUACGCUCGAAGUGGUGGAAAGCUGAUUGGGCCAAAUCACAAUUGAGAAUCCUUGAUAUUGUAUCUGUUUGCUUUAAACAAAUUGGUUAUAUAUAUUUUUUAAUAGUUUGAGCUUUUGGAAUUAAUAAGUAGCGCCAACAAUCUGACGGUAAUAGCUAGGGCUCUGUUUACAAGGACCUCAAAGAGCCCAAGAUGAGAAAAUUAGUGGACAAUGGAGAGAAUGAAACAAGCAAUAUCACAAACUAAUAUACAAACUCUCAUUCCAUGAACAGGUAUUAGCUAAAAGAGAAACAUACAAUGUCAAGGGAAAAAAAAAAAAAGAAAAAAAGAAAAAAAAAAGCACAUAUUGUGCAAGGGGAAUAGAAUUACAUAGUUNGGUUUUAGGAUUUUAGGUUUUUAGAGAUUUUAGGAUUUUAGAGGCUUUUUUUGGGUUUUAGAGUUUUAGGGUUUAAAGCCGCAGGCAUGAAAAUCUAAUAUUAAAUAAUGGGAAACAAUCGCUUUCUCCAAAGUUUUAAAUGGGUUGAGGCUCAUGACAUGGAUUUGAAUUAAAUGAAAAAAAAAAAAUUAUAUUUAACAUCGAAUUAGCAAGUGUAGGCAAAAUAAUUUAAUUAGUCUUUCACGAUAGCCAAAAUAUUAAAUAUGAUUAGCUAACAAAGGGCAAAUUAGUCAUUUUACGUUUUAACCUAAGUAAGAUUUUAUGUUAGCUUAUAUUAACUAGACGUUUUCUAACAGAAAUUAGCGAAGAAGGUGUUUGUGAUAUAAAUUUAUAGAUUUUGAGAGAUAAUGUUGAUAUUGACUACUUUAAAAGGGCAUCAUAUGUGACAUUUUUAAAAGUUUAAGGGACAUGUUCGAAAUUGUCCUUAAUAUUAAAAAUGUCAUUCUAUGACAACUCAAAUUUUUUUGAGAUGGUUGUUUUAUAAUACAUGGUUACAAACUAAAAAGUAUUGAAUUUGAAUCCACCAAACCGUAGUAUUAUUUAAUUUUUACUCAUUUGAAAUGGCACGAGGUCGGACUGGGCCAAAUUAUGCUCAAAGUGGCGGAAGCCUGAUUAGGCCAAAUCACAAUCGAGAAUCAUUGACUCUAUAUCUGUAUGCUUUAAAUAAAUUGGUUGUAUUUUCUUUUAAUAGUUUAAGCUUUUGAAAUUAAUAGUUAGCGUCAACGAUCCGACUGUAAUAGCUAGGGCUGUGUUUACAAGGACCUCAAAGAGCCCAAGAUGAGAAAAUUAGUGGACAAUGGAGAGAAUGAAACAAGCAAUAUCACAAACUAGUACACAAACUCUCAUCCCAUGAACAGGUAUUAGCUAAAAGAGAAACAUACAAUGUCAAGGGAAAAAAAAAAGAAAAAAAGAAAAAAAAAAGCACAUAUUGUGCAAGGGGAAUAGAAUUACAUAGUUACAAAUAGAACUGUACCACUCAUCAAGCUGGAAUAUGAACACAAAAAAAAAAAAAAAAAAAGGGUCCAAUGAUCUCAUUGGCAUAUAUUCAUCACUCAAAAUAUUUUUUACAAAAUUUCAUUAAUCACAGUUGAACUCAUUGCAUGGCUUGCUGAACAAUUGAGCUGGACUACGAAUAUGCAUUCAUGCUACUCUUUCACAAUGAUGCUAUUCGAGGGCGUAUCAUUGUUUCCGCGACUUCCAAUCUUCGAUUGCAGAACGAAGCGAGUGAUUGGGUAUGAGAUUCUUGUUGGGUAACCGUAGAUUCGUCAUCGGAGACUUGUCAUUCAUGCUGAGCCACAUCUCAAUCGCUUUACGGUCAUACGUGUAUCCGUCGGACGCAACAUAGGGAUCAUCCAUCACUUCCUGCAUAAAAGUUUUCGCGAUCUAUAGGUUUAGAUUACAUAGUGAAGAACAAUGCAUUAGAGUCAGCGAAUGCAUCGGAAGGAAUAGGAUGAGUAAUAAUAUCAAAAUUACGCAAACUUAAAUUUCUGCAUACAUAAACUUCUCUUAUCAAACUAACUUCUCCCCGUGAUUUGGAUGACUCCUAAACUUCAAGAUAAAAGCAUUUUUACAGGACAUGAAGACAAUUACUUUCUACGUGAAAAGCGAAGUUGAGAUUUUAAAGGGUUAUAUAUGUUUAUGAUGAUUUUGCGGGUACAAAGUUGAGAUUUUAAAGGGUUAUAUAUGUUUAUGAUGAUUUUGCGGGUACAUAAAUACACGUCCAUGCGUGUGCAUGCAUGUGGUUGUGUAAAAGCAGAGAAGCGAGAAGCAAUAUAAGUAAUCGCCCAUAUAAAUGUACGCAAUGCGAGAGGCAAAAUGGCAAACCGACCUGAAGUAUUGGGCAAAUGAAGUGGUUUGGAGGUGCUGACAGAAGAUGAAUCGUCGACAAAUUCUGCGCCUUUUCUGCAAUCUCCUUCAGUCUUUCCAGCAUCGGAAGAACUUGCUUGUUCAGGUCAGGCCGGUCCUUGCGCCUCAAUUCAGCGCAGCUUAGCCCGAGACGAGCCAAUUCCUGUGUCUCCUCUUCCGGCCACUGCCCACCCUUUGGAUCCAACAUAUUCACUAGACAUUCAUUCUCUAACGCGAUUUCUACAGCAUAGGCAAGUCCCAUUGGCGGUUUCGCUGUAAUUAACUGCAAAAUUACCAUCCCUAAAGCAUAAGUAUCCGACUUUGGGGAGACCAGACCAGUCCUUUGGUACUCGGGGUCGAUGUAGCAAAAAGUCCCCACAGGAGCAGUGUCUUUGAUUAUUGUGGACAUCGGAUAAUUUACAGUAGGCAGCAAAGUGGAGAGGCCCACGUCGCCGAUCUUGCUUUUGAAGUUGUGGUCGAGCAAAAUGUUCGCGGGCUUAAGAUCGCGGUGGAUGAUGGGUUCGGGUUUCGAAUUGUGAAGGAAAGCGAUAGCGGAGGCGACUUCCCACGCAAUUCGAAAGCGGUAGAACCAUGGAAGCGGGGGCGUGUUGUUCUUGCAUUGUAGCCUAUCGUCGAGGCUACCGUUCUCCAUGAAUUCAUAUACAAGGCAACCUCUCUCAGGGCAGGCCCCAAGGAGCAAAAGAAGAUACGGAUGGUGAAUUCUGCUCAGAAUUUCAAGCUGGAAAAGAACAUGUUUUGUUAAGGCAUUGGAGAAGUCGAGAAUUUAUUCUCAAAAACUCACCAUGGAUUGAGGCAAUGUAAAACUUAGUUUAAAGUUAUCGAAAUUGGAUAGCUCAAUAAAAAUUCUCUUGUGUUAGUUACUAUUUUUGCGACUUUAGUUUUAUUCUCAACUAUUUGACACAGUUUUAAGCAAGAAUUUAAGUGUCGUGGCAUGAGGUCGUGCCGGAAACUUGCCGGCACGAUGCAUGCCGGUCACAAAAAAUAUAUGUGUGCCAACACGAAAUGGCAUGAAAUAUUUAUUUUCUUUAGCAACAAAUUAUGUCAAUUAUUUAUUAUAUAUUUUUAUUAAAUCUUUUGAACUUUAUUAUGAAAAUUACUUACUAAUUUAAAAAAUAGAGAGUUUUGAAUUGUGCUAUCGGCACGGGAACUGUAUCGUGCCAAUAUCUUACUGGCACGAUAUGGCACGGUGGAUACGGCCCAUGCCGAUGGACACUUUAAUCCUUUGUUUUAAGUAACCAAUGCCAAUUUACAAAAAUGCAUUGAUAGUUAAAACCAUGCACUAGUCAUCAACUUUGCACUGUGUACAGAUACCCGGGGGGCAGUUCCUUUCUAUAAAGUUGACAAUCAGACUAAAGAGGGAAAAGAGAUAAAAGUUCCAUUUUUGCAAAUGCAAGAAAAGUGGGUUUUUUUUUCUUUUUUUCAUGUAAGUCUUUUGUUUGAAUCAUCCAUACCUCUUGUUUAAGUUGCUUGGUUCCAUGCCCCUCAUUAGAGUGGAGAAUUUUCACUGCCGCGAUUGUAUGAUGAAAACUACCCUUGUAGACGGUUCCGUUUGCUCCCCGCCCGAUCAUAAAAGCACUAGAGAAUGAUGACGUUGCCAAUUGUAUCUCUUCCCACGUGUACCGUGUAUACUGUUCGCCAUUAGAAUCAAGAGCUUUCUCUAGCAUCAGCUUCUCCUUCACUUCUCGAGCAGCACAUCCCUCCACAUCCUUUCUCUGCGCCUUUUCCCUCUCGGCGCAUUCUUUCGCAAGCUCGGCUUCCUUUUUCGCUGCUUCGCGCUCAUCCCUUUCUUUUCUUGCCAAAUAUCUAGCUUUCUCUCCCCUCAGUUCUAUCUGUUUGAGUUUGAGUUCCUCCUCAAGGCGUCGUAGACCUAGCUCCUGCAACUAUUAUUUCGAAGAAAACGAAGCUUAAGAGCCACAAUAAUUAGAGAUACAUAUGCAUAGAAACACUAGUUUUUCAUAUACCUUUACAAAAUCUAAAUUUUCAUAUACACCCUGAAGAAGGAAAAUUUAUGACAUACAUGCCCUAGAACUUCACAAUAGUGUAAACAGAUAAAAUCACACUUACUCGCUGAGAAGCAUCAAUUGAUUCAUUCUGUGCAACCUCGCAGAGGUUCUGAACAUGUUUAAGUUCUAUUCUCAGCCUCUCAAGUUCCGCAUUUAGAUCAAGCUGCACGAGUAAAUCUCUCAGAAUGGGCAAAUUAAACCACUGCGAAGAAAAACAGUCUACAAUGGUGUCGGCCAAUCUACUUACCUGGUUCUGAGGAGACGACGAGUUUGUUCUAACUGCUGAGGCUGAGGCCUGACAAGAAUAAAGAGACAGAUUAUCGUCUGUCUCGAGGCUUCUGUAACUAGUGGUGGAACUCAUCGAGCCUUCGUCAGUGUAUGACCCUAAAAUGUCGCGAGGGUUAUUAUGCCUUGUCCUGGCGAAAUUUUGGUUAAUAGUUGCGAGCGCUUGGCUACGCUGCUGCGGUAGAGGAGGAUUGCGAAGGGAGAAAUUUACUGUUCCAUCUGUUUUAGUCCAUUCCAAAUGUCAAAGUAAACAAUACUGCCCCAUGGCUAGAAAAUUUAAACAUCUACACAUAUUUGACAUUGCCUAUUACUAAACAAAAGGAAAGACGUGUAUAUACAGACGCCUAAUUGCAAUGUUUCACGAAAUAUUAUUUCUAGUUGGAUCAUCAUAUAAACCACCAUAAGAAAUAUUACUUUCUCAAAUGAUAUCCUACUUUGAGGUUGAGCUUCUUUGCUAACUGGUCGUAUCUGUGCCGAAUAAAUGGAGCACAUAGUGAAGUCAAAAGAUAACUAAGGUCUUUUUAAAAAAUUCUGUACAUAAAUGUGGCGACGGAUGAGCCAAAUUGGUUAAAUAGGAAUAGAUAGUUAUGGCGACAUGAUAUACCUGUGAACUUCGACUUCUUUUUAUGAAGGAUUUCAAGUGAAAGUAAGUAAAAAUUAUUUCAACAAACAAGAAGUAGCAGAGUCAGCAUCACCACUCUCUAGCUUCUAACUUUUAAGAGAAAUCCAUAGCUGUUAAUUUUUGAGUCUACAAGAAGAAAUCGAUCAUAACAUCAAAGAAUUACCUGAACGUGCACUUGAGGAAAAAUGUGAGGAGUUGUAAGAACUAAUGCUUGAACUGUUUGCUUUUUCGGUACUUUCAUCGACCAUUGAUGUAGCAGUGCGUACAGAUGAUAACUUUCCUUUGGAUACAAUGUAGACUGUACAAAAGCCCGGAAUACGCCCGGAGAUUUUUGAAGACGUCUUGGGACCUUUAAUUUUCCUGCAAACAGUUUCUUAUUACGAUCUCACCAAUAUCAAUAUUACAAAUUACAGUCAUUAGUAAUGAGAUAUUGCCUAAGAAAAUAAAAAGUAGCCGCAUUUCUCCUCCCGCAAGGCUUUAAAAGAGAAGAGCGCGUGAGCAUGAAAAAGUAGUGCCUAAUUAAAUUACUUCAGGAUCUGCUGCUUAAUGUUCUUCUUACAGCGAACAUAGCGGAAAUNUAUACCUUUACAAAAUCUAAAUUUUCAUAUACACCCUGAAGAAGGAAAAUUUAUGACAUACAUGCCCUAGAACUUCACAAUAGUGUAAACAGAUAAAAUCACACUUACUCGCUGAGAAGCAUCAAUUGAUUCAUUCUGUGCAACCUCGCAGAGGUUCUGAACAUGUUUAAGUUCUAUUCUCAGCCUCUCAAGUUCCGCAUUUAGAUCAACCUGCACGAGUAAAUCUCUCAGAAUGGACAAAUUAAACCACUGCGAAGAAAAACAGUCUACAAUGGUGUCGGCCAAUCUACUUACCUGGUUCUGAGGAGACGACGAGUUUGUUCUAACUGCUGAGGCUGAGGCCUGACAAGAAUAAAGAGACAGAUUAUCGUCUGUCUCGAGGCUUCUGUAACUAGUGGUGGAACUCAUCGAGCCUUCGUCAGUGUAUGACCCUAAAAUGUCGCGAGGGUUAUUAUGCCUUGUCCUGGCGAAAUUUUGGUUAAUAGUUGCGAGCGCUUGGCUACGCUGCUGCGGUAGAGGAGGAUUGCGAAGGGAGAAAUUUACUGUUCCAUCUGUUUUAGUCCAUUCCAAAUGUCAAAGUAAACAAUACUGCCCCAUGGCUAGAAAAUUUAAACAUCUACACAUAUUUGACAUUGCCUAUUACUAAACAAAAGGAAAGACGUGUAUAUACAGACGCCUAAUUGCAAUGUUUCACGAAAUAUUAUUUCUAGUUGGAUCAUCAUAUAAACCACCAUAAGAAAUAUUACUUUCUCAAAUGAUAUCCUACUUUGAGGUUGAGCUUCUUUGCUAACUGGUCGUAUCUGUGCCGAAUAAAUGGAGCACAUAGUGAAGUCAAAAGAUAACUAAGGUCUUUUUAAAAAAUUCUGUACAUAAAUGUGGCGACGGAUGAGCCAAAUUGGUUAAAUAGGAAUAGAUAGUUAUGGCGACAUGAUAUACCUGUGAACUUCGACUUCUUUUUAUGAAGGAUUUCAAGUGAAAGUAAGUAAAAAUUAUUUCAACAAACAAGAAGUAGCAGAGUCAGCAUCACCACUCUCUAGCUUCUAACUUUUAAGAGAAAUCCAUAGCUGUUAAUUUUUGAGUCUACAAGAAGAAAUCGAUCAUAACAUCAAAGAAUUACCUGAACGUGCACUUGAGGAAAAAUGUGAGGAGUUGUAAGAACUAAUGCUUGAACUGUUUGCUUUUUCGGUACUUUCAUCGACCAUUGAUGUAGCAGUGCGUACAGAUGAUAACUUUCCUUUGGAUACAAUGUAGACUGUACAAAAGCCCGGAAUACGCCCGGAGAUUUUUGAAGACGUCUUGGGACCUUUAAUUUUCCUGCAAACAGUUUCUUAUUACGAUCUCACCAAUAUCAAUAUUACAAAUUACAGUCAUUAGUAAUGAGAUAUUGCCUAAGAAAAUAAAAGGUAGCCGCAUUUCUCCUCCUGCAAGACUCAGAGAAGAGCGCGUGAGCAUGAAAAAGUAGUGCCUAAUUAAAUUACUUCAGGAUCUGCUGCUUAAUGUUCUUCUUACAGCGAACAUAGCGGAAAUAGAUAUAUAUACCAAGAGAUAUCCACAUAAAGCUUACGCAGAUUAGUUGUAUUUUGUAUUACCUUGUAAAGAUAUUUCUGGAUGAGGCGCCUAUAACUAGCCUGCUAAUUGCGAAUUUGGCAAUCUCUCCUGAUAUUGCAUCAGCUACAUCGUCUGCUUCAAUUAUAACAGCUUCAGCUUCUACCUGCGAACAAAAUCAUUUCAGCCAUUACUCUUCAAUAGAUUUCCAUUAAGUAAAUUUCUGGGCCCAUUUCCUACUAGUUCGAUCUUUUUGGUAACAUGGCCCCUCAGUUUCAUGAGAUCGUGGGUUCAAUUCUUCGCCAUACAUAUUUAAUGGGCUCAAUCCCCAUAUUAAAAUCCUUGGGUCAAAUCCCUAUCUCGUCUCUUAACUCAUCUGUCAAUUCCACGUGCCUUUCAUAUAUAUCAUGCAGAUGAGAGGGGGUGUUAAGUAUAUUCUUACACCUGUUUCCUAUUAGAUUAAUCUUUGCACGGCAAUUUCAUCUUCAUGUACAUGCUAAAAAUAAGAUAUUAAGAAUACUGACCUUUUUCUGAGAACACAUUUUCUUGUAUGGGAGAAGCACAGCAUUUGCUCGCCACUCCAUUUCCUUCUUGUAAGCAGAGGCUACAUCUUCUCGCACAUUUGAAAUUGGAAUGUAGUUUCCCACUGAAGCACAAAGCAACAAACUCUCAGCCAACCGCUGUAAUUUCCUCUUGCUUUUAGAGACGCAUUACAUUAAGAAAAUAAGUGUACAAUUUACUACAUCAUGAAGAACAAAAAAAAAAACAACUAAAACAACCAAAAUCAUUCAUACAAGUGCUACAUAGGCCAUUUUGCUAUUUCUGUCACUGUCGUUCCGUUUUCAAUAGCGCAAAUUGUUAUUCAAAGUCUCCAUGUUUCUGUCACUAAAUGGAGAGAGAGAUAGAAGCAACAAUGUCGAUUAAUGCGUCGGAUUGAUGUUCUCUGCUGUCGAGAAAUUAUCCAGCUUCCCACUCAAGGUUAUAAACAACUCUAGUUAGAAAAGAGGUACUAACUAAGAAUAUGGCUUCAGAAGUGACUUCAACUAGUUAGGAAGCGCCUCAUUUCUCGGAAGAUCAUCCUCAAAUGAAAAAUCUAGAGAUCUCUACAACUAAUCAUUUAGGAUUUCUACAUCAGCAUUGUUAGGAUAUCGUGCUGACAAGCUUCUUCCGAAACAUUCAAAGACGGUGUUCAGCCCAGACACCGAAAACACUUGUUUUUGAUUAUCAAAUCCUCGCAGUCGGCUCUCCGAAACGGUUUGUAAUGAUUUCCAUAUGUAAUUGAGCAUGUUGAACAACAUACUGAUUUUGAAACUCGCUUAGUGUCGACAUGGCCUAAGAAUCAAGUCAUUUAAGUAGUAUUGGAGUACGGUAGCCUUGAAUUAUUCCUUAGCGGAUUUUCUGCAACUCUAUUGCUUCCCUUGGCGAGAAAGUCCCAUAAUUGGUGAUUAUUCGUGCAAAUAGUUUCUCGACAACUUGCUUUUCAAUGAGAAAUGAACGCAAUAUACUAUCCUAGUCAAAAUAGACAAAUUUACUGGCCGAUACGAAUGACGAGAUAAAAGAUGUCCUGUCUCUAUAAAGAUCUUGUUGCUGUAAUGAAAUUUAAGAGACAAAAACAUGUUACAAGGCUAUCACUAAUUAUACACGGUUACGAUCAUUUGCUUUGAUCAAUCUCCGUUUUCGUUCACCUAAUUGCGUUCUCUAUCAAUAGCAAAACAAGUAACCCGAUCCAAUUUAGGUUCCUGGAUAUGUUGGUUAUUCAGUUUGUAAGUUUUCGCCGCCCUCUAAUUCCAACAAGAACCAACAAAACCAAUUCUUCUAUGUAUAAUUCUUCGUAGAAAUCUACUAAGACUAGAACAUGAGUUAAAAUUCAUAGGGGUAUCGAAUUCGUAUUUGAUUUUUCCAAACAAACCAACAAUAGAAUAUCGAUUACGCGAGCUGUGUGCUUACUGGGAGUAGGCACCAUUGUGAUCUUCGGCCGGACGUGCAGCAGCCGGAAGAGAAUUCUCCGCUCGGGGACGAAUUUCUCGAGAGCCCAUUUUACGGCGCAUCUGCUGCUCUUGCUGCUAUUCACCGCAAUCGCGACGGUGACGAUGAUCGGAGCAAUCGACUCCGACGACGACGACUCGUCGUCGGCUUCUUGAAUUUCCAUCUCUUCUCUCUUUUCAUCAACUGCUCACUAUAUCAUAAUCAUACUCACCUCCUCCCUGUUAAUAGAAAGAGGGAUUUUUGGUAAAUUUGUAUGUGGUUUUCCUCAAACACUUCAUGGGCAUGAAUUACAUGAAAUCCUCCUACAAUUCAGAUGCAAAAAUAGUGGGGAUCCUGAACAGCUGCAUCAAUUUAUGCAAUUUUUUCAUUUUUUUGGAGGGGAAAACAACAACAAUGUGCAAAUAACACAAAAGAAGAUACAAAAAUAUAAAACAAAAAAAAAAAAUCAAAAUUAGUGACAUAAAACAAACCAUUUAAGAUCAUAGCUCAGUUGGAUAGAGCGAAAUAGCACAAAGAAUCGCCAAAUCUUAGUAUUGUGGGGUAGUAACAUCAAAACCCACCAGAAAAAAAAAAANUCUUUCUCCAAAAAAAAAAAAAUUAUAACAUUUUUUAAUUGUGUGCAUCUCCUAUGGUGAACCACGGUCCACGGUGGUCUCGGUCUACGCAACAAAAUUUUUCAACAAGCGCCGUGAGUAGCGGCUAACUUUAUCGUGCUCCGCGGUGUCCACCUACUCGUCAACAGGGGCGACCGUAUCCCCUUAUUUUAGGGAGAAGUAGCCCCUCAAUUAUUUGAUAUUUUGAAAUAGCUUCCUCAACUUUAGUUUUUUUUGUUUGAAUCCCUUUACUUUCGAUAUUUCAAAUUAAGCCAUUUUAGUGAAAAAAACAUGUAAAUUUUAUAUAAUUCAUCAAUAUAUUUUUAAAAAAUUAAAGUUAUUAGGGUAGUUUUAAUUGUAAAAAUCAAAAAUUAAGAAGGGAAUGCAUAUAUAUAAAAAAGUAAUAAUUUCUUAUAUAUUUCUGAAAUUUUUUUAACUUUUUAAUUUACUCCUCUUAGAAAGCUAAUAUUGAAAAUAUUUUUUUUACGUUUCAAUCUAUUUUAAAUAUAUACUUGACUUAAAUUCUGAAAUUACUAUUUUGCCCUUUCAAAUAUACCGUUCUACCUAAGUUAGAAGUACAAAAAAUAUUUUAAUUUUUGGUAUUUUCAAAUAUACUCUUUGACCAUCACCAAUAUUUCUUAUUUGCCCUUAAGUUAAGGGCAAAAGAGUCAUUUUAAUUUUUUUAAUUCUGGUAGAUAUUUAAUUUAUGUUUAAUCCAAAUUAACUUAACAGGUGGUAACUGUGGAAUUAUUUUAGAAUAAUGGAGGAACGUAUGAGAGAUAUAUUGGAAAGAAAAAAAAAAGUAGGGCACAUGAGAUAUUUCUGAAGUUUAGAGGGGUAGAUAGGCAAUUAUUUCUAUAAAAAUUAAGUUGCGGAUCCUGUUUCAUAAUUUUAUGUAAUUGAGGGGUUUCCAUACAAUUUUACCUCUCUCCUCUUUUCUAUACCCUCCCCUCCCCUACUUUUUCUUUACCCAUACGCUCUUUAUUUUCUCGAGGCUCUCUCUCUCUCUCUCUCUCUCUCUCUCUCUCUCUCUCUCUCUCUAUAUAUAUAUAUAUAUAUAUAUAUAUAUAUAUAUAUAAAGUUGAGCUAGAAUACUCUCAAAAGCAUUAUGAAGGUAGUGUUUUUGAGUUUUUAGCCAUUGGAUGGAGAGAUGUGAGAUUGGGAUGAUGGUGGUAGGCGGUGAAAGAAGUGCCAAGUUAAAGAAGUGCGAGUUCUGGCUACGGGAGGUUGCUUUCUUGGGCCACGUGAUUUCAGCUGAGGGCGUAGCAGUGGACCCGAAGAAGAUUGAGGCAAUUCGAGAUUGGCCUAGACCGACGACGGUGACUGAGGUACGGAGUUUCCUGGGACUGGCAGGAUAUUACUGUCGGUUUGUGGAAGGCUUUGCGAAGCUUUCCACACCCCUCACACGCUUGACGCGGAAGGAAAUUCGUUUUGUCUGGAGCGACGACUGUCAGAGGAGUUUUGACGAGUUGAGACUGAGGUUGACGUCGGCUCCUAUCCUUGCCAUUCCGGUGAUGGGGGUGGAUUUGUGAUCUAUAGUGAUGCAUCGCACAGUGGACUUGGUUGCGUGCUGAUGCAGCAUGGUAGGGUGAUUGCUUAUGCUUCACGGCAGUUAAAGGAUUAUGAGAGGAAUUAUCCUACGCAUGACUUGGAGCUUGCCGCGGUGGUUUUUGCUUUGAAGCUCUGGCGGCAUUACUUAUAUGGCGAGCACUGCGAGGUUUUCACUGAUCAUAAAAGUCUCAAGUAUCUGUUCACACAGAGGGAGCUGAACUUGAGGCAAUGCCGGUGGUUGGAGUUACUGAAGGACUAUGACAUUAGUAUUCAGUAUCAUCCCGGCAGGGCGAAUGUAGUGGCAGAUGCGUUGAGCAGGAAAACAGUGCAGAGCCUGAGUUUGACGAUCACUGAGCAGAGACCCCUACUCGAGGAGCUGCAGCGGCUGGGACUCGAGAUAGUACCCCCUGGCUCUACAGCGAGGCUGACGUCUCUAGUUUUACAGCCCACUCUGUUGGAUAGGAUCCAAGAGAAACAGAGUGGAGAUCCGUACUUGUUGAGGAUCAGAGAGCAGCUGACAGGGGGCAAGUUGAGGGUUUUGCUUUGGACAGUUCGGGAGUACUACGGUACAGGGACCGACUGUGUGUGCCUGUGGAUUCUGAGAUCCGAGCAGACAUUCUGAGAGAGGCUCAUUGUUCUCCUUAUACGGUUCACCCUGGGGGAACCAAGAUGUAUAAGGAUCUAAAGGCACGGUUCUGGUGGCAUGAAAUGAAGAGGGACAUUGGCAGAUAUAUGGCUCAGUGUUUGACUUGCCAACAGGUAAAGGCCGAGCAUCAGGUGCCUGCUGGCAAGCUUCAGAGUCUGCCAGUGCCCGAGUGGAAGUGGGAGUACGUCACAAUGAACUUCGUCGUUGGAUUGCCUAGAGCGCAGGGUGGCUACGACGCGAUUUGGGUGAUAGUGGACAGUCUGACCAAGUCUGCUCACUUCCUACCAGUUCAGACUACCUGGUCCAGAGAGAGACUCGCGCAGCUAUAUUUGGAUGAGAUCUUUAGGCUGCACGGCGUGCCAGUGUCGAUUGUAUCAGACAGAGACCCGAGAUUUGUAUCCCAGUUUUGGAGGAGUCUUCAAACCGCCUUGGGCACUCAGUUAUAUUUUAGCACGACGUUCCACCCACAGACAGAUGGUCAGUCAGAGCGGACCAUACAGACUCUAGAGGACAUACUGAGGGCAUGCGUCCUGGAUUUUGGAGGAAGGUGGUAUCGACAUGUGAGCCUGGUUGAGUUUGCGUACAACAACAGCUAUCAAACGAGCAUUCGGAUGGCUCCGUUUGAGGCGUUGUAUGGACGCAGAUGUCGAUCCCCCCUGUUUUGGAGCGAUGUGGGUGAGCGGAGGACACUUGGACCGGAGAUUCUACUUGAGGCUGAGGAAAAGGUGAGAAUCGUUCGACGACACCUUUUGGCAGCACAGAGCCGGCAGAGGAGCUACGCCGAUACUAGAAGAUGAGACUUGGAAUUCCAGGUUGGAGAUCAUAUAUUCCUUAAAGUCUCGCCGUCCAGAGGGAUACGCCGAUUUGGAGUACGUGGAAAGCUUAGUCUACGGUUUGUUGGCCAUUUCGAGGUAUUGGAGCGUAUCGGACCCGUUGCUUACAGGAUAGCUUUACCCCCGCAACUUGUUGGCAUCCACGAUGUUUUCCACGUCUCAGCAUUGAGGAGAUACGUUUUCGAUCCCACUCACGUGAUUGACUUCACUCCACUGGAGAUUAGCGAGAAUAUGAGAUACGAGGAGCGACCGUUGCGGAUUCUUGCUCGGGAGACGAAAGAAUUGCGCAACCGGGUUAUCCCGUAUGUGAAAGUGCAGUGGAGCAAUCACGAGAAACGGGAGGCGACUUGAGAGCCUGAGACGGUGAUGAGGGAGGCCUAUCCCUAUCUGCUUGAUGCCUGAGCUGAGGUACGUUUCAGUUUCGCGGACGAAACUUUUUGUAGAGGGGGAGGAUGUGAGAUCCCUGGUGUUCUGUCGUGGAGGCUUGUCGGCAGCUCUGGAGAGUGUCAGGACAAGUCCGAGUCGCGUUGGCGUCAAAUAGACGCAAAACGGAUUUCGUGCGAUGCGAGGGCGGCUUAUAGCGAAGAAAUCUGCAAAAUAGCAAAUUUCUCUGCUUGCUGUACCGGUACAACCAGCAGGCUGUACUGGUACAACCAGCGCGCACUGGCUUAACUGCUCUCGGGUUGGCUCUUGUACCGGUACAGGAGCCCGUGUACCGGUACAAGGGGGUAGGUAGAGGGCUGUUUGGUAAUUCCCUCCCUCGUUUGCAUCACCACUCCACCCACUGCUAUAUACAGGUGUAGAGAGCUUGAGAGAGAGUGUUCUUGCUGCUCCUUCUUCUCCUCUCCCUCUAUAGCUUGGUUCGACCGUGGAGGGGCUCGGUUGGAGCUUUCGUCGCCGAAGUCGCGCCGCGGAGUCAUUCGAGGAUACGGUUGUCGCCGUUGCAUCGCGAGGAAGCUGGGCGAGUGCGGAUUUUUGCUGAUCGUGACGUCACACCAGUGCUAGCCGCGGUCGAGGUUGGUUAUCUAGCACUUCCUUCGUUUUGGCUAGUUUUUACUUCUUCGAGCUCAUGGAUGUUGAUUUGCUGAAAAUCGCCGUCGACCGUUAGUAUUUCAGCUCGUACUCGACGUAGGAGUAUCGGAUUGCGACGAGACUUGGUUCUUUGAAUUCAGGAUUGCUAGAGGAAUCCACGAAACCCUUACUUGUGGAUUUUUGUGUAGGUUAGCUUGGUCGAAAUCCUUCUCUUCUCUGCUGCUUCGUAUUUGGACUGAAUUGUAGAUUUUCGAUGUUGAUAGCUUGGAGAUAGUUUGAUUUCGAGACUCGGACAUUUUCAGUCGAUCCAGUAGGUCAUGCCGCAGCCGAGGGAGUUCCGUGCUGUCAGGGAUUAGCUUUGAGGUGGGUUACAUCGGUUUUACUCCUAAGUUCAUAAUCGUCGACAUGUAUAGAUUUCGAUUUUGGAUAAUCUAUUCUAGUUCGAAUUCAUGGAUUAUAUGGUGAUUGCAAAUCUGAAUUUGGAGCAUGUGGCAAUAAAUUGAGUAGGCUAUACAUGUUGGACAUGGAAUUUGAAUUAGGAGAAAACCUGCGAUUUGGACCUGUCACUUGUUUAAACUGCCUGAUUUAGCUCUAGGAGCCGUUAUAAAAUUGUACUGUUGCAGUAUCCUCGAGACGAGUACUCUAGAUAGUUUAGAAUACAUUUACGCUCAUACUGGUAUGCCGAGUAGAUUUUUACAGGGUCGUUUGGGCUGUUUUGGACUGUUGGGUGCCGUAAGAGUUGACGGUGGACCCGGAUCGCCUUUUUGGCGACAGAUUGUGCCGAGGGCACGUGAACUGUUGGUUAUUAGACUAGUUAGAGUCGGUUACUUAACUUUGGCUUUUCAGAGCCUGAUUGAGCUCGACAGAGAUACGCUGCAUACUCGGUUGGCUUAGCGCCCACGAGUGCCACUCCGGAGUCGGCUUUGUGCUUUCGCGUUGGUGUCGCUCAUGCCGGUUGGACUUGCUCUCCACGGACCAGUUAGUGUGGAGGUAGCUAGAUAGUUGCAACUGGGUAGGGACGGGUGUAUUCACAGUCCCAGGGACGGGUAGGUUUACAGUGCCGAUUGGAUUGGGUCAGAUUUGACAUUUCCUACAGUUGAUUAGUGUAGAGCAUGAUAGUGUAGUGAUUGAUAGCGGUAGAGUUUACUUCCUGCUUUUUCCUACUAUCCUGACUCCCCUCUGUAGACUUAGUGGGUGGACCGAUGUUGUUUCGGCGGCACCCAUUGAGGACUACUUGUUUUUACAGUAGUUCUCACUCCCAGUUGGUACCUCUGUUUUGCAGAGCCACAGGUUUCGGCUGCUGCGCCUUUCGCGGAUCAGGAUCGAGGCAAGGGUGUCGCGAGUUAGAGCCCUACCCGACGUGCUGAGCUAGAGAUGCCCCUACUGCAGGUAGAUGUUUUGUUUCGAGUUUAUGUACAUAGUAGACUUAACUCGCCAGUGCGAGUAGCUCUGUAUUUUGGAUUUGGACUAUGUAUAUGAAACUCAGUUUAUUUAGCUUCUGUUUUCUCUAGCAGCUCUCUACUACUGUUCGUAGUAGUGUUGGAUUUACAGGUACAGCUGUCGCUUCGUAUACAGGGAAAAUUCCUUUGUAUACGGCGGAUUUGUCGGCGUGUCCGGGGAACGAGACAUCCGGGGCUUGACAGAUUCGGUGCGACGACUUUCAAUAAAACACCUAACUGAUUGCCAUUGAUCGGACUUUGUCCAUCAGCCUAUUCAUAAGUUCAAUUCAUAACCUCAAAAUAAAUCAAUUUUUUCUUGAUCUGUUCUGCCAUCCCACCUAAUAAAUUACUAGGAUUCAUUUUCAAUAUAAUAUCUAUACACUCACUAGUUCUCUGGUUUUCAUAUUUUUUCCAUUAAUGGUUAGCUCAAACUUUCCAAUGGAGCUUCCAACUAUGAAAUAUAUGAAAUAAUCAUUGUAGUCUAAAAACUUAAAUCGAUAGAGAAUGAUAUUUAAAUAGUUUUAUAUUUAACAUAUUUUAUAGUUUGGAUCACAGUCGGAUCUCCUGCUCUGAUACCACGAGAAUAACCGUUAUAUUCUAAAAGUUUAAACUGAUAAAGAACGGUAGUUAAAUAUUUUUAUAUUUAACACAUUUUAUAAUUUGGAUCACGGUUGGACCGGUCAAUUUGAUCCGAUAUUUCGAGCAUAUGAAGGUGGGGAUAUCAAUGGGUUAGAUUCGGGAUGGAUUUUCAAAAACCCGAACCCGAACCUGACUCCAAACUUGAACCCGCAGGCAACGGAUUUUAAAAAUCCAUAUCCAAAUCCGAAACCCAAACUCAAACCCAAACCCGAACCCGAAACAAUUAUUUUUUCUCAAUAUUUCAAAAAAUAUAUUAUAUUAAAUCUAAUUUUGUAAAAUAUAAAUUCAAAUAUAACAUCAAACAUUUAUACACAUAUUAUAUAUAUAAAAUAAAUUCAGGUUCGGAUCGGAUUCGGAUCACGUAUAAUCAAAAUCCAUAUCCGAAUCUAAAUCCGUCAAAAUUUUAUUUUUGAUAUCCAUAUCUAAAACUAUUUCUAUUUAGUAUCAAGUAAAAUUUAUUUGUUCGAUUUCGGAUUUGAAUAAAAUUUCGAGUAUUUCGUGUUCAUUGACAACUCUAUGUGAAAGCGAGGGUCGUUGACUUUUCCAGGGAGACUGUGGGGUCAAUUUGACUGGUGCCGCGAAAGCCACGGCAGGGAUUGACUCAGUCUCGUUGACUUGGAGACUGCAUCCAACGCUAUCACGACGACACUUCGAUUUCUCCGCCCUCUUUUUUUUUUUUUUUUUUUCACAUGGAACAUUUUUAAAUAGGGAAAACUUCAAAAAGCCCCCUGUGGUUUCGUCGUUUCUCACUUAGCACCCCUGUGGUUUAAAAUGUAUCAAAUUGCCCCCCUGUGGUUUCGUUUUUAUUUUUUUGGUAGCUUUUUCGUUAAUAUUUUAUUAAAUUAUAUACAAAAAAUUUUAGAUACCUAUCUAGAUUUAUCAAAUAUUCACUUUAGUACCCUUUAAUUUUAACUUUAUCACUGAUUUAAGAAAAAAAAUAAUAAAAUUGAUAAGAAAAAGAGAAAAAAGAAACCACAGGGGGGCAAAUUGAUACAUUUUAAACCACAGGGGGGCAAAGUGAGAAACUAUGAAAUCACAAUGGAGGUUUUUGAAGUUUUCCCUUUUAAAUAUCAUAGUUCACACUUUUUUAUUUUAGUACCCUAUAAUUUAAAAUGUAUCAAUUUAGUACCAUAUAGUUUCAUCUUUAUCUUUUUAUUAUCGUUUCUAUUACUUUUUUUCGUUAAACCAGUAACAAAGCUAAAACUAAAGGGUACUAAAGUAAAUAUUUGACAAAUCUAUAUGGGAUAUCUGAAACAUUUUGUAUAAAAUUUUACCAAAAUAUUAAUUAAAAAGCUGACGAAAAGAUAAAAAUGAAACCACGGAAUACUAAUUUGAUACACUUUAAACCACAUGCUACUAAAGUGAGAAAGUGCGAAACGACAGGGACUCUCUUUGAAGUUUACCAUUUUUUAUGAAAAAAACUUUAAAUAUCACCCUUAUAGUUUCGCUCUUUUUUAUUUUAGUAUCCUAUGUUUUAAAGUAUAUUAAUUUAGUGCCCUGUAAUUUUAUUUUAUUUUAUUAUUCCCUCCACUAAUUUUUUUUUAUUAAAUUGGUGACAAAGUUAAAACUAAAAGUUACUAAAGUGAAUAUUCGAUAAAUCUAGAUGGGAUAUCUGAAAUUUUUUAUAUAUAAUUUAACGAAAUGUUAACGGAGGAGCUGACGAAAAGAGAAACUGAAACCACAGGAGACUAGAUUGAUACACUUUAAACCAUAGGGUACUAAAGUAAGAAAGUGCGAAACUACAGUGGUGAUAUUUGAAGUUUAUUCUUUUUUUAUUCAUUAUUGUUUGGGUAAAUUGCACCUUUGGUCCUUAAUCUAUAAGCGACGCGAACUUUAAUCCAUAAAUUUUAAUUUGUUAUAAUUUUUAACUCUAAUUUUUAGAAUUGUUGUAAUCAAGCUUCAAAUUUUAAUUUAGUUGACUAAAUUUUAAAGCAUUGUUAAUAUAGAAAUAAUGUAAUAUCUUAAUUAUUUGUGUAUCAUUUGCAUGUUAGCAAUAUAUCAAUAUUUAGUCAAUUAAAUUGGGCUAUAGGCUAUAGAACUUGAUUGCAACAAUUCAAAAAGUUCGAGAUAAAAAUUACAACUAAUUAAAGUUUGCGGAUCAAACGUACAGUUUACCCUUCUUAUUUUACGAGAAUAUUUUUAAGAUGAAGAGUCGAAUCAUGGACAUGCAUGUCUACCAAAUUUUGAUUCUCCACCUUUUCACACAUAGUAGCUGGUAAAUAUCUUAAAAAGAAGGGAUGAUUUCAUACAGCUCCCUAUAAACAUAUCGAAUAACAAAUAUAUUCUUACAAAAUUCAUAUUUUUAGAUUUAUCCCUGAAACCCCUAUUGUUAGGGUGCGUUAAAAAGUAUACAUAGUUAAUUAUAAGUAAAAUACUUAAUUUUGAUUAGUAAGUGAAAUAAAUUGACCUUUUUAUUCUUAUAAUAUUAUACCUUCUUUUCUCAAUCAAAAUUCUAGUAAUAAAAACUCUUUUUUCUCUUUCUCUUUCUCUUCCUUUCUUUCCUUCAUGCUAGGUUCGAACCCGUAACUAUAGUUUUUCCGUCACCAUUCAUCUACGACGCUUGUUGCUUUCCAUGUCAAACGCCGGGAAAUCAAUAGUAGAUAGGUAAAUGAGAAAAGGUGUAAGAGAAGAGGUUGCAAUAAUGAUGAAUUGAGUUAAUUUUUAUAGAAGAAGAAGAUGAUCAUUAAAAAUUUUUUAGGAGGAUAUUUCUACAUAAUUAUAACAGUUGAAAAUUUUAAAGGAAUAUAUUUGUGAUAAUAAAAAUGACAUUUCACUUAUCUGCUAUUAAAAAAUAAACAGUGAGCUAACAAUAACAAGUCAGAAAGACAAAUAAGCAAAAUAUCUAAACUCUUUAAGGAACGAAUCUAAAAAAUUUAAUUUUGCAAAGAUAUAUCUGCUAUUCGAUAUGUUUACAUAUUAUCUGUAUGAAAUUGUCCCUAAAAAGAAUGAUGUUAUAUUAUUCUUACAUCAGAUAAAAUGGGAGAGAGCAUAAAAGGAUUACACAUGAUUAAAGUUGAACUAAUCCAAUUUAUAUUAUGCAUUUUGGUUCAAUUAAGUUGAUCUUAGUUUGGUUUGAUUUAUGAUUUGACCAGUAAUUCUAUUUGGAUUUCGAUUGAGUUUUUUUUUUUUUUAAUUUUCCGACUAAACAAUGCAGAAACCAUUUUUUCGUUCAGUUAAGUUGAUUUUUUUUUAUUUUAUUAAGUGAUGCUUCCGAAUUUUUUUUUUUUUUUUUUUAAACCAUUCAUUUGCGUCGUUUGAAGGACGGAGAUUCAUUGUUGAGAUUGUUUGGUAGGUAAGUGGGAGGGCGGUGAGGUCGGUACCCGUUAAUCAGACAAAAAUCGUCCAUUUGGUAGGUAAGUGGGGAGGCCGGUGAGGUCGGUAUCCGUUAAUCAGACAAAAAUUGGAUGGACAUCGUUUCAUAAAUUAAUUAGUUUGGAAACAAUGCAGAUGACCGCCACGUGACGAGCCCAUCUCACCCUCCACUUUUCUUUCUCUGCUUCUUUCUCUCUCCCAAUAGAAAUCAGAAUGCACAAAUUUUUUUUUGGAAAAACUUCAAAAACCCCCCUUGUGGUUUCACACUUUAUCACUUUAGUACCCUGUAGUUUAAAGUGUAUCAAGUUAGUACCCUGUGGUUUCUCACUUUAUCACUUUAGUACACUGUGGUUUAAAGUGUAUCAAGUAAUUAGUAUCCUUUGGUUUUGCACUUUAUCACUUUAGUAUCCUGUGGUUUCACACUUUAUCACUUUAGUACCCUAUAAUUUAAAAAACUACAGGGUACUAACUUGAUACAAAAUUAAAAACACAGGAUACUAAAGUGAUAAAGUGCAAAACCACAUGCUAUUAACUUGAUACACUUUAAACCACAGGAUACUAAAGUGAUAAAGUGAGAAACCACAGGGUACUAACUUGAUACAUUUUAAACCACAAGGUACUAAAGUGAAAAAAAUUGAAACCACAAGGAGGGUUUUUGAAGUUUUCCUAUUUUUUUUUCUUCUUUUUUCCUUCCCGCUCACGCAAUUGGUGUGCGCUAGCUCGCCACACGGCACCCAUCUGCAUCGUUCCCAAACUAGUAGUUUGAAAACGUUGUCUAUAUAAUUUUUGUCCCGGUUACUCGGUACCCCUGAGAGGUGAUUUUUAUGGACAUUUUAGUAAGGCUAAAUUACAGAAAAUCUUUCUAUCAAAACUCGUUUUUUCACUUUUCCUUCCUGUCAUUUAAAAAUCUACACUUUACUCCCCUAAAUAAUGAAAAAUGUUCACUUCGGACCCCGCCGUCAGUGUUCCGUUAGGGUUCCGUCUAUAUCCCAUUAUUAUAUAUAUUUUUAUACCGAAAAUAUCAUUCUACAGAUAAAAGAGGGUUGGGGAAGUAGAGGAAGAAGGAGAGAACAUUUUGAUCAUUUUAUCAAUACUAUUAACACCGUACCCUCUGUAAACAUUUUUUUAUUUUUUAGGGUGGCAAAAUGUACGUUUUUAAAUAACAGGGAGGAAAAAUGAAAAAUCGGAUUUUGAUAUGAUGGUUUUCUAUAAUUUAGGCUUUUAAUAAUUUUGAUUAUGGGAUGGUGUAGCAAGUUUGAAAAUGCUUGAACCGCGUCCACAGCAUCAAUGGGGAACUUUCAAUUUGAAAUUUUUAAAUUUUAAAUCUAAAAUAUAAAUAUAAAUUUAAAAUUUAAUUUUAGUUUAACAUUUUAACUUAAAUAAAGAAUUCAAAUUUAAUUUUAAGUUUAAGUUUAAUAUUUGGAAUUCAAAAUUCAAAUUAAAAUUUAAAUUUAGUGUCAAAAAUUAUAUUUAAAUUUUGAAUCCAUAUUCGAACCUAAAUUCAAAUACGUUAAUUCAGGUUAAAAUUUGAAUUUUGAGUUUGACUGUUUGUUUAAAUUGAGAUUCUAGUAAAUAAUUCAUAUCGAAGUUGAGAGGGUCUCCAUACAUUUUAAUAUUAAAUUUUAUUUUAAUAUAAUAUAAAAUAUUAUAAUGUAUGGAUAGAUCAUGUGCACCUAAUAAUUUUUAUAGAUAUCUCUCUGAGAUGCUUAUCAUGAAUUUUUAGGGGAAAAAAUAUUAAAACUUUGAAAAUUAUAUAAAAAGAUAAAUUUUAGAAACUAUUUUGAACUUUUCUGUAAGGUUAUAAAUCUAUAUGAAAAUUUCAAAAGAUGAAUAGUUGGGGGGCUUAUUUUAAAAUCGGCUGCAAGUUGAGGGGCAUCCUUAGAUUUUUGCCUUUCUAGCAUGUGGGAUUGCAUACAAACUAAAAGAGAAUUACUUGUUCACAUUUACAUCCAAAAAAUUAAGUACAGGAACAAACUUCUUUUUUAUUUGGUUCGGUAUUAAAUGCGAGUAAAAUUCAGCUUUCGUUUCGAUUCAGUAUUUUUGUUAAAAUUACGAAAAUUAUAUUUAUUGACAUCCACUUUUAGAUGCCCGGAGCUAGCUCUUGGGCUAGAGCGCGUCGCAUAGGUUGCCAAAGCAGAGACAUCAGUGAAAGAAAUGAGGACCACCGAAAAGAAGCUUAUGUUGCUGGUCAAUCGCGAGAAGCGAGAGUGAAGGCACCAACAAGGUUUAGGGUCCAAAUAGGCAAAAACACCGAAGGUCUAGGGAUGGGUAGGGCUGGCAAACGAGCGAGCCAGCUCGCGUUCGACUCGUGUUCGACUUGAUAUUCGGCUCGCUCGAGCUCGACUCAAAAUUAAAUGAGCCGAGCUUGAAGAAAAUAAAAGGCUCGAAAUUCAUUUCAAGCCGAGCUUGAGUAUUACUCGGCUCGUUCGAAUUAGGCUCGAAAAGCUCGAAAGCUCGAAAAUAUAUAUAUAUAUAUAGUGUCCGGCUACUAUACUAUCUAUAGUACGGGAGCUCCCGUACUAUAGUGUUGUUUUCGAUCUUUGGGCGUUCAAAUCAACGAUCCACACCGUUAAAACUGAUCUAGGGUAUUUAAAGUUUUUAGAAAUAAAAUUUUAUAUUUUUUCGACAUAGUUUACUUUAUGAUCAAAAUAUUUCAAAAUUGUUAAAUUUCAAUGGCUAUUAUGACGAGUUUGGAGUUUAACGGUGUAGAAGAAUCUAAAUUUCUUCAAAUUUUGAUAGAAAAUUCUUUAAACUAUAUAGAUUAAGGUUAACAUUCUUGAUCCUGAAUUUAAAAGUCCUAUACUCAAAAUUUAAAGAGUAUUCAAUUCCCACCGUCCAUUUUGACAUAGUUUAUGUACUAAGUAAACGAUAUCG
rnacentral:lncRNA from 1 species